CAACUACUUCAUUAAUCAAAUGUGGGUAUCCAUACAAGCUAAACGCAAAGCUUCUUUUGCGAGAGAGUCGGCCAACCGAUUCUUAUCGCGAGAAAUGAAAUUGAAAGCAACAGAACUGAAAAGAGAAGAUAGAUGAAGGAUAUCGUGAUGAAUCCCAUGAAGCUCCGAAUUGAGUGCUUUGACCAGUAACGAGUCUGAAGCAAAAGAGAUGUUCGAAAAGUCAGAUUCAAUUGCAACUCGGACCGCGGAGAGGGUUGCUAAAGCUUCGGCCAUCAUCGGUGAGGAGAUAAGGGGCAGUGUUGCAGAUUCACGGAGAAUCACAGUCCCUUGGGGGUUCAUGAAAACCCAACCUAAUCCUAUCCUACUAUCCAAUCUCCGCGAUGCAUCUGUGAGACAGGUGGUUAGAUUUGAAACAGGCGGAGGAGCCGGUGAUGGCUUGAUGGGGAAGGGUACGCUGAGCUUCUUGCCACUCUUUGGCUCUAACAAUGGCCAGAAGGAGGCUCUCCUCUGCUUGGAUCUGUUUGUUGCUGAAAAUUAGUUGGUUUCGAGAAGUCCAAAUUGACCAGAAGAUCUAGGGGAGCAGAGGGCCCUCUCCAAUUCCAGAAGGUAGAAGACAUGUGAGCUUAUUCGCCAAGGAGAUACCUUCCUAGAUGUUUGAGAUGCGGGAAAGAAUUAGGUGAUGUUUAAAAGGUUAUCACUCACCGGCAGAGCAUUCUGUGAAGCUUUCCAAAGUAGCAUUUUUGUUUUUGGAGAUGUCUUGAUGGUCCAGAUAUUGGCUUUCCAAGUAGCAUUGCUUAUUUCUCUUUAAUUUGCUAUUUCAAGUACUUUUGUCUCUCUAGUUUGCUCUUUCGAGUUCUCUCUCUCUAAAAGUCUGGUUUUAUUUUUAAAAUAUUUACUUAGUCA